rnacentral:rRNA from 1 species
GACGAACGCUGGCGGCGUGCUUAAUACAUGCAAGUCGAACGGAAAGGCCCUGCUUGCAGUGUUCUCGAGUUGCGAACGGGCGAGUAACUCGUGGGUGAUUUGCCUUCCACUUCGGCUUAAGUCUCUUCAACUGGCUCUAAUUCCUGCCAGGUACUAUUUUUAGCCUGAUGGUUCGAUAGUUUUGUCGGUGUUUGAUGAGCUUGCGACCUAUCUGCUUGCUGCUGGGGCUAUGGCCUACCAUGGCGGCGACGGGUAGCCGGCCUGAGGGGGUGGACUGCCACAUUGGGACUGAGAGGCGGCCCAGACUCCGAAGGGAGGCAGAAGGGGGGAAUAUUGAACGAGGAGAGCAAGCCUGAUGCAGCAAGGCCGCGUGGGGGAAAACGGCCUUCGGGUUGUAAACUCAAUUCGCUAGGGACGAAGCUAUUUGUGAAGGUACCUAGAUAAGAAGCACCGGCUAACUACGUG